ACAUCCUUCUCUCUCUUCCAGCUGCUUCCCGGGGCCCCACCAGAGACCAUCCUUCAGUUUGCUGAUCCCUGCCUGUCAGUCCUGCUUACACAUAGAGCGCCGGCUGUUCAUCUAAUGCUGUGGGGAAAAGAAAUAAAAAUCCAGCUUUAAAAGAAAUAAGGAGACUGGAAGGGGAAGUAGGAUGAGAUAUCGGAAGGCCCUUCUCAAGCUCUUUCUGUCCAUACGGAUGUGUGCUCCAGUCAUUUAUCCAUGAUUCCUUUAAAAACUAUUGAGUGAGGGUCUAGCAUGUUCCAAGCAGUAUGUUUACUGCCGACCAAAAAAAUGUGGACAGUUAUGGUCCUAGACUUACACCUCAGUCAAACAGGUUCAGGACUCGGAUGAGGGGACGUGGACAAGUCCAUGAAGACAUAGCAGCACGCAUUGUGACAAAAGUCACGAAGGAAACCAGCUAGGCGGUGACCGGGAACGAGGCGGCUGAGACGUGGGGCCGGGCUGAAGUCAGUCAAGUGGCCCGGGGGCUCUCUCUGAGGAAAUGGAGUUUACGCAGAGAUCUGAAGAGGGUGAAGGAAGAGGAGAUGACUCGGGAGUUUAUAUGAGGUGCGUACUCUCACAUCGGAAAAGGGACAGAGUCUGUAGCCAAGUCUUCUUACGGGGGUCUUUUUCCAGCAACACCACCCCGCAAAAUGGAUCUUCAGAUACAUAGA
rnacentral:lncRNA from 1 species